UACGGGGGGAGCAAGCGUUGUUCGGAUUUACUGGGCGUAAAGGGCGCGUAGGCGGUCGCGACAAGUCACUUGUGAAAUCUCCGGGCUUAACUCGGAAACGGUCAAGUGAUACUGUCGGACUAGAGUACAGAAGGGGCAACUGGAAUUCUCGGUGGUAGCGGUGAAAUGCGUAGAUAUCGAGAGGAACACCUGCGGCGAAGGCGGGUUGCUGGGCUGAAUACUGACGCUGAGGCGCGAAAGCGUGGGGAGCAAACAGG
rnacentral:rRNA from 1 species